UUUGCAACUUCAAACAACACAAACAGACACAUAUAAAUAGUCGGAAUCCUUAAAACGAAAUAUUUGUAAGUAGACUGGGGUAGAGAGGAUAUGAAGAUGGGUUUUGGUAGACUUUGUUUUCUAAUGUUUCUUGCUGCUAUCAUUGGCCUCUCUGCUGCGUCUAGAAUUGGAGUAGAUGAAAACAGCGACCCUUAUUGCUCUGACGAAUGCAGAACUGGCAUUGGCGGCUCGGAUAUCACUGAAAAUUGCUGGAAUUUUUGCAAGGCUCAGAAUCAUUAUGACGGCUCCUGCGUGCGUCGAGGCAAAAAUUCAAAACUGCUUUGUUGUUGCAGGUACUAACCCCUAAAUGUUGCACACUAACCCAGAAUUUGGAAACUUCCACAAUAUAAUACUAUUAUUAAUAAGUACUCUUUAAAUUAAGAUUUUCAAAAUUUGUUCUCUGAAUAUGCAUUGUUUUUUUUUUUUUUUUUUUAAGUGUAUUGUGUUAUAAAUAUUAUAAUUUAUAUGGAUAUUAUUAUGUAACGGUCGUAUUUAUGUCUCUAUUUAUAUUUUCUGUUACGAUUUGUAAUGUAUAAUGUACCCAAGGAUGAAGAUGGAAUAAAAGAUUUAAUUUGCACUU